AGGGGAGUGAAAAAGAACCUGAAACCGUGUACGUACAAGCAGUGGGAGCCUCUUUAUGGGGUGACUGCGUACCUUUUGUAUAAUGGGUCAGCGACUUAUAUUCUGUAGCAAGGUUAACCGAAUAGGGGAGCCGAAGGGAAACCGAGUCUUAACUGGGCGUUAAGUUGCAGGGUAUAGACCCGAAACCCGGUGAUCUAGCCAUGGGCAGGUUGAAGGUUGGGUAACACUAACUGGAGGACCGAACCGACUAAUGUUGAAAAAUUAGCGGAUGACUUGUGGCUGGGGGUGAAAGGCCAAUCAAACCGGGAGAUAGCUGGUUCUCCCCGAAAGCUAUUUAGGUAGCGCCUCGUGAAUUCAUCUCCGGGGGUAGAGCACUGUUUCGGCAAGGGGGUCAUCCCGACUUACCAACCCGAUGCAAACUGCGAAUACCGGAGAAUGUUAUCACGGGAGACACACGGCGGGUGCUAACGUCCGUCGUGAAGAGGGAAACAACCCAGACCGCCAGCUAAGGUCCCAAAGUCAUGGUUAAGUGGGAAACGAUGUGGGAAGGCCCAGACAGCCAGGAUGUUGGCUUAGAAGCAGCCAUCAUUUAAAGAAAGCGUAAUAGCUCACUGGUCGAGUCGGCCUGCGCGGAAGAUGUAACGGGGCUAAACCAUG
rnacentral:rRNA from 1 species